GCGCGAAACCUCCUCAAUGCACUGAAGUGUGAAGGGGUUACCUCGAGUGCCAUCUGAAGAAGGUGGCUUUUCCUUGGUCUAAAUAGCCUUGGGAAUAAGAGGGGGGCAAGACUGGUGUCAGCCGCCGCGGUAACACCAGCCCCUCGAGUGGUGGGGAUGAUUAUUUGGCCUAAAGCGUCCGUAGCCGGCCGAGUAAGUUUCCCGUUAAAUCCAGCGUCUCAAGCGUUGGACUGCGGGAAAUACUGCCCGGCUAGAGAGUGGGAGAGGUGAGCGGUAUUCUGGGGGUAGGGGCGAAAUCCUUUGAUCCCCGGAGGACCACCAGUGGCGAAGGCUGCUUACUAGAACACGUCUGACGGUCAGGGACGAAAGCUGGGGGAGCGAACCGGAUUAGAUACCCGGGUAGUCCCAGCUGUAAACGAUGCAGGCUAGGGUGUUUGGACGGCCACGUGCCGUUCUAGUGCCGCAGGGAAGCUGUUAAGCCUGCCGCCUGGGGAGUACGAUCGCAAGAUUGAAACUUAAAGGAAUUGGCGGGGGA
rnacentral:rRNA from 1 species